rnacentral:tRNA from 1 species
GGAGAAGUACUCAAGUCUGGUUUAAGAGGCCUGUUUAAUGCAGGUAGGUCGUNAUGCGAGGGUUCAAAUCCCUUUCCUUCUCCA